GGCGGGAGUAGCUCAGGGGUAGAGCACAACCUUGCCAAGGUUGGGGUCGAGGGUUCGAAUCCCUUCCCACUG
rnacentral:tRNA from 1 species